rnacentral:rRNA from 2 species
AUUGACCUCGGAUCAGGUAGGGAUACCCGCUGAACUUAAGCAUAUCAAUAAGCGGAGGAAAAGAAACCAACAGGGAUUGCCUCAGUAACGGCGAGUGAAGCGGCAACAGCUCAAAUUUGAAAUCUGGCCCCUUCGGGGUCCGAGUUGUAAUUUGUAGAGAGUGUUUCGGGUGAGAGCGCGGUCUAAGUCCAUUGGAACAUGGCGUCAUAGAGGGUGAGAAACCCGUAUGUGACUGUGGCUCGAGCCCAUGUGAAGCCUCUUCGACGAGUCGAGUUGUUUGGGAAUGCAGCUCAAAAUGGGUGGUAAAUUUCAUCUAAAGCUAAAUACUGGCUGGAGACCGAUAGCGCACAAGUAGAGUGAUCGAAAGAUGAAAAGCACUUUGGAAAGAGAGUCAAACAGUACGUGAAAUUGUUGAAA